rnacentral:rRNA from 1 species
CAAUAGCGUAUAUUAAAGUUGUUGCGGUUAAAAAGCUCGUAGUUGGAUUUCUGUUGAGAGCAGCCGGUCUGCACUUGGUGCAUGUAUCUGGUUUGAUCUCGGCAUCCUCUCAAAAGACGUUUCUGCGCUUGAUUGCGUGGAGCGGAGUUUGGGACUUUUACUUUGAGGAAAUUAGAGUGUUCACGGCAGGCAGUCGCCUUGAAUAUAUUAGCAUGGAAUAAUAAUAUAGGAUCUUGGUUCUAUUUUGUUGGUUUCUAGAGCUAAGAUAAUGAUUAAUAGGGACAAUUGGGGCAUUCGUAUUAACGCGUCAGAGGUGGAAUUCUUGGACUGCGUUACGACGAACUACUGCGAAAGCAUUUGCCAAGGAUGUUUNCAUUGA